rnacentral:rRNA from 1 species
GGCCUUGACAUACUAAGAACUUUCCAGAGAUGGAUUGGUGCCUUCGGGAACUUAGAUACAGGUGCUGCAUGGCUGUCGUCAGCUCGUGUCGUGAGAUGUUGGGUUAAGUCCCGNAACGAGCGCAACCUUUUCCUAUUUGCCAGCGGGUCAUGCCGGGAACUUUAAGGAUACUGCCAGUGACAAACUGGAGGAAGGCGGGGACGACGUCAAGUCAUCAUGGCCCUUACGGCCAGGGCUACACACGUGCUACAAUGGUCGGUACAAAGGGUUGCUACCUCGCGAGAGGAUGCUAAUCUCAAAAAGCCGAUCGUGGUCCGGAUCGCAGUCUGCAACUCGACUGCGUGAAGUCGGAAUCGCUAGUAAUCGCGGAUCAGAAUGCCGCGGUGAAUACGUUCCCGGGCCUUGUACACACCGCCCGUCACACCAUGGGAGUUUGUUGCACCAGAAGUAGGUAGUCUAACCGCAAGGAGGACGCUUACCACGGUGUGGCCGAUGACUGGGGUGAAGUCGUAACAAGGUAGGCGUAGAUGA